rnacentral:rRNA from 1 species
UACGUAGGGUGCGAGCGUUGUCCGGAAUUAUUGGGCGUAAAGAGCUUGUAGGCGGUUUGUCGCGUCUGCCGUGAAAAUCCGGGGCUCAACCCCGGACUUGCGGUGGGUACGGGCAGACUAGAGUGUGGUAGGGGAGACUGGAAUUCCUGGUGUAGCGGUGAAAUGCGCAGAUAUCAGGAGGAACACCGGUGGCGAAGGCGGGUCUCUGGGCCGUAACUGACGCUGAGGAGCGAAAGCAUGGGGAGCGAACAGG